UACGUAGGGUGCAAGCGUUGUCCGGAAUUAUUGGGCGUAAAGAGCUCGUAGGCCGUCUGUCGCGUCUGCUGUGAAAACUCAGGGCUUAACCCUGAGCUUGCAGUGGGUACGGGCAGACUAGAGUGCGGUAGGGGAGACUGGAAUUCCUGGUGUAGCGGUGAAAUGCGCAGAUAUCAGGAGGAACACCGGUGGCGAAGGCGGGUCUCUGGGCCGUAACUGACGCUGAGGAGCGAAAGCAUGGGGAGCGAACAGG
rnacentral:rRNA from 1 species